rnacentral:rRNA from 1 species
GACGAACGCUGGCGGCGUGCUUAACACAUGCAAGUCGAACGGAAAGGCCCUGCUUUUGUGGGGUGCUCGAGUGGCGAACGGGUGAGUAACACGUGAGUAACCUGCCCUUGACUUUGGGAUAACUUCAGGAAACUGGGGCUAAUACCGGAUAGGAGCUCCUGCUGCAUGGUGGGGGUUGGAAAGUUUCGGCGGUUGGGGAUGGACUCGCGGCUUAUCAGCUUGUUGGUGGGGUAGUGGCUUACCAAGGCUUUGACGGGUAGCCGGCCUGAGAGGGUGACCGGGCAAAUUGGGAAUGAGAUACGGACCAGACUCCUACGGGAGGCAGCAGUGGGGAAUAUUGCACAAUGGGCGGAAGCCUGAUGCAGCAACGCCGCGUGCGAGAUGACGGCCUUCGGGUUGUAAACGGCUGUCGCCUGUGACGAAGCGUGAGUGACGGUAAUGGGUAAAGAAGCACCGGCUAACUACGUG